rnacentral:rRNA from 1 species
UGGGGAAUUUUGGACAAUGGGGGAAACCCUGAUCCAGCCAUCCCGCGUGUGCGAUGAAGGCCUUCGGGUUGUAAAGCACUUUUGGCAGGAAAGAAACGUCGCGGGUUAAUACCCCGCGGAACUGACGGUACCUGCAGAAUAAGCACCGGCUAACUACGUGCCAGCAGCCGCGGUAAUACGUAGGGUGCAAGCGUUAAUCGGAAUUACUGGGCGUAAAGCGUGCGCAGGCGGUUCGGAAAGAAAGAUGUGAAAUCCCAGAGCUUAACUUUGGAACUGCAUUUUUAACUACCGGGCUAGAGUGUGUCAGAGGGAGGUGGAAUUCCGCGUGUAGCAGUGAAAUGCGUAGAUAUGCGGAGGAACACCGAUGGCGAAGGCAGCCUCCUGGGAUAACACUGACGCUCAUGCACGAAAGCGUGGGGAGCAAACAGGAUUAGAUACCCUGGUAGUCCACGCCCUAAACGAUGUCAACUAGCUGUUGGGGUCUUCGGACCUUGUAGCGCAGCUAACGCGUGAAGUUGACCGCCUGGGGAGUACGGUCGCAAGAUUAAAACUUAAAUGAAUUGACGGGGUCAUAG